UAAAAUCUGACAGAAGAAUUUCAC
rnacentral:piRNA from 1 species